rnacentral:rRNA from 1 species
GAAUAUUGGUCAAUGGGCGGAAGCCUGAACCAGCCAUGCCGCGUGCGGGAAGGAGGCCCUAUGGGCUGUGAAACCGCUUUUGCCUGGGGGCAAUAAGGGCGUCGUGCACGUCCGAUGAGAGUACCAGGCGAAUAAGCAUCAGCUAACUCCGUGCCAGCAGCCGCGGUAAUACGGGGGAUGCGAGCGUUAUCCGGAUUCAUUGGGUUUAAAGGGUGCGUAGGCUGUGCGUCAAGUCAGGGGUGAAAUUCCGGGGCUCAACUCCGGGGCUGCCCUUGAUACUGUCGCGCUGGAGUGCGGAUGCCGCCGGAGGAAUGAGUGGUGUAGCGGUGAAAUGCUUAGAUAUCACUCAGAACACCGAUUGCGAAGGCAUCUGGCGAAUCCGUAACUGACGCUGAGGCACGAAAGCGUGGGGAUAGAACAGGAUUAGAUACCCUGGUAUUCCACGCCGUAAACGAUGAUGGCUAACCGCCGGCGACACACUGUCGGUGGCCAAGC